rnacentral:rRNA from 1 species
CCUACGGGAGGCAGCAGUGAGGAAUAUUGGUCAAUGGGCGCAAGCCUGAACCAGCCAAGUAGCGUGAAGGAUGACGGCCCUAGGGGUUGUAAACAUCUUUUAUAUGGGAAUAAAGUGCAGUAUGUAUACUGCUUUGCAUGUACCUUAUGAAUAAGGAUCGGCUAACUCCGUGCCAGCAGCCGCGGUAAGACGGAGGAUCCGAGCGUUAUCCGGAUUUAUUGGGUUUAAAGUGAGCGGAGGCGGGUUGUUAAGUCAGUUGUGAAAGUUUGCGGCUCAACCGUAAAAUUGCAGUUGAUACUGGUAUCCUUGAGUACAGUAGAGGUAGGCGGAAUUCGUGGUGUAGCGGUGAAAUGCUUAGAUAUCACGAAGAACUCCGAUUGCGAAGGCAGCCUACUGGACUGUAACUGACGCUCAUGCUCGAAAGUGUGGGUAUCAAACAGGAUUAGAUACCCUGGUAGUC